rnacentral:rRNA from 1 species
UACGUAGGGGGCAAGCGUUGUCCGGAUUUAUUGGGCGUAAAGCGCACGUAGGCGGGUUGCCAAGUCGGGGGUGAAAUCCUGGAGCUCAACUCCAGAACUGCCUUCGAUACUGGCGAUCUUGGAGUCCGGGAGAGGUGAGUGGAACUGCGCGUGUAGAGGUGAAAUUCGUAGAUAUUCGCAAGAACACCAGUGGCGAAGGCGGCUCACUGGCCCGGUACUGACGCUGAGGUGCGAAAGCGUGGGGAGCAAACAGG